rnacentral:rRNA from 1 species
UGAGUAACCUGCCCUUAACUCUGGGAUAAGCCUGGGAAACUGGGUCUAAUACCGGAUAUGACUCCUCAUCGCAUGGUGGGGGGUGGAAAGCUUAUUGUGGUUUGGAUGGACUCGCGGCCUAUCAACUUGUUGGUGAGGUAAUGGCUCACCAAGGCGACGACGGGUAGCCGGCCUGAGAGGGUGACCGGCCACACUGGGACUGAGACACGGCCCAGACCACCUACGGGAGGCAG